GAUGUACAACUCUGGCUGGAUGUGGUGGCUCACACCUAUAAUCCCAGCACUUUGGGAGGCCGAGGCAGGCGGAUCAUGAGGUCAGGAGAUCGAGACCAUCCUGGCUAACAUGGUGAAACCCCAUCUCUACAAAAAAUAAAAAUAAAAAAAUUAGCCAAGCAUGGUGGCGGGCGCCUGUAGUCCCAGCUACUCAGGAGGCUGAGGCAGGAGAAUGGCGUGAACCCGGGAGGCAGAGCUUGCAGUGAGCUGAGAUCACGCCACUGUACUCCAGCCUGGGCAACAGAGCGAGACUCCGUCUCAAAAAAAAAAAAAAAAAAAAAAAAAAAAGAUGUACAACUCAGCCAGGCACAGUGGCUCAUGCCUGUAAUCCCAGCACUUUGGGAGGCCGAGCUGGCAGGUCGCUUAAGCCCAGGAGUUUGAGAUCAGCCUGGACAACAUGGUAAAACUUCAUCUCUACAAAAAUGCAAAAAAUGAGUCAGGUAUGGUGGCGCAUGCCUGUAGCCCCAGCUACUUGGGAGGCUGAGGUGGGAGAAUCACUUAAGCCCAGAAGGUCAAGGCUACAGCGAGUUAUGGCACCACUGCAUUCCAGCCUGGAUGACAGAGCAAGACCCUGUCUCAAAACCAAAAAAAAAGAAAAGAGGCCAAGCACGGUGGCCCACGCCUGUAAUCCCAGCAUUUUGGGAGGCCGAGGCGGGAGAUCGAGAUCAUCCUGGCCAACAUGGUGAAACCCUGACUCUACUAAAAAUACAAAAAUUAGCUGGGUGUGGUGGCGCGUGCCUGUAAUCCCAGCUACUCAGGAGGCUGAGGCAGGAGAAUGGCUUGAACCCAGGAGGUGGAGAUUGCAGUGAGCUGAGAUCGUGCCACUUCACUCCAGCCUGGGGACAAGAGUGAGACUCCGUCUCAAAAAAAAGAAAAAAAGCCAGGCAUGGUGGCUUAUGCCCAUAAUCCCAGCACUCCGGGAGGCCGAGGAGGGCAGACCACUUGAGUUCAGGAGUUCAAGACCAGCCUGGGCAACAUGGCAAAAACCCUGUCUCUACAAAAAAUACAACAACAACAAAAAUUAGCCGGGUGUGGUGGCACGCACCUGUAGUCCCAGCUACUUGGAAGGCUAGGUGGUAGGAUCACUUGAGCCUUGGGAGGUAGAAGCUGCAGUGAGCUGUGUUCACACCACUGCACUCCAGCCUGGGUGACACAGCGAGACUCCAUGCCGUGACACCAGCACGUGGCGUGUCACAUUAUUAAGGAUUAUACAGCCAACAGUUACUGGGCUGGUUUCCUUUAAUCCUCACAGCAGGCCCUGUCCGCAAGUCUUUCACCGUUUCCCGUCAACACUCCACCUUUCCUGCCCAAAGUUUGGGGUUGGGAGGGAAUUCCCAGGGGUUCCCAGGACUUGGGCUCGCCUCCCAGAUCCCGCAACCUUUGCGUGCCUAGCCUCGGCAAUGACCGCCCAUCUGCCACGAGGGGGCGGCAGCGCACCGUUCAGACGCUGCGCCCCUGGUGCAUUAUGGGUCGCGUAGUCUCAAAGGUGGCAUAAGCAUCCUGGAACGCAAACGGCAUUUCCCAGAAAACUACGCGACAAUCUGAGCCUGGUCUUGCCCAGAGCUGGAAGCUGAGGUCUCGCCCCUGCCGGCGUUGCGGGGGAUUGUGGGAUGUAGGCAUUUGGCUCCGCGCUCCGCGAAGGGCGGUGCAGCGCAGGCGCGGGCAUCCGGUACAGACAGCCGAGCUUAAUCUGAGGCGGGGAACCAGCGUCCCGGGGGAGGCGCCGAAGCUGACUUUCUGGCCGCAGUGGAAGUGAGGCGAGCGAGCUCCCUUAGUGGCUGGAGCCGGCUGGGCCUCCUUCCUGUCCUCCUGCUUUCCUGCAUCUCUACUUGUCCCUUUCCCCGGGCUCCUGGUCCGCUCCCAAGCCUGUUCAAGCACGAGGCGUUUCCAUCUAAAAAAAGAAAAGAAAUCUCUUUUGCCGGGCGAGAUGUCAGAGCCCCGGGAGCGAAAGUGUUGGUAAUGUUAGACAGAAUGAGUUCCUCUUCAAAAAUCUAACUUCCUUGUCCUUUGCUCUAUGAACUGUCCUUCCUGCAGAAACUGCCCUUACCGGGGAAACUGCCCCUCCCCGCCGCUGCAACCCAUACCCCGCCUCUAUUAGAAAUAGGCAAUCGGAAUCAGCUUAGAUUGUGAGGUCCAACCCUAGCCAACGGGGGUUAAAAACCCCUGCUCUCCUUUAUUAGGUGUGCUUUUGGUACAGGUCUGGGCAGCACGCUUCUGCAGAAGUAAACUUUGCCUUGCUAAGAAACUUUUCUCCGAGUGCUGGUCUCUCUCUGUGGCACCAAGAACUUAUUUCUAACAGUAAGAAGAAUUUACUGAGGACAGCGUAGGCUUGAAAAAGAAAAGUUUUACUAGAAAGAAUGCUGCCGGGCACUCACGCCUGUAAUCCCAGCACUUUGGGAGGCCGAGGCAGGUGGAUUGCCUGAGCUCAGGAGUUCGAGACCAACCUGGGCAAUACAGUGAAACCCCAUCUCUACUAAAAUACAAAAAACUAACUGGGCAUGCCAGCAUGUGCCUGUAGUCCCAGCUACUUGGGAGGCUGAGGCAGGAGAAUUGCUUGAACCCAGGAGGUGGAGGUUGCAGUGAGCUGACAUCAUGCCACUGCAUUCCAGCUUGGGUGACAGAAUGAGACUCCAUCUCAAAAAAAAAAAAAAAAAAAAAAAAUGAAGGAAAGAAUGCUGCAGGCCAGGCAGGGUGGCUCACACCUGUAAUCCCAGCACUUUGGGAGGCCGAGGCAGGCGAAUCACCUGAGGUUGGGAGUUCAAGACCAGCCUGACCAACAUGGAGAAACUACUAAAAAUACAAAAUUAGGCGGGCAUGGUGGCCCAUACCUAUAAUCCCAGCUACUUGGGAGGCUGAGAUAGGAGAAUCGCUUGAACCCAGGAGGCGGAGGUUGUGGCAAGCCAAGAUCACACCAUUGCACUCCAGCCUGGGCAACAAAAGCGAAACUCCAUUUCAAAAAAAAAGAGCUGAUUUUUUUGUUUGUUUUUUAGACAGCGUCUUGCUCUGUUAUCCAGCCUGUGUGUGAUCCCGGCGGUGUGAUCUGAGCUCACUGUAGCCUCAACUUCCCGGGCUCAAGUGCUCCUCCCACCUCAGUAGGCCCCAUGAAUAGCUGAGACUACAGGCACAUGCCACCACACCCAGCUAAUUUCUGUAUUAUUUGUAGAGGUGGGGUUUCGCCAUGUUGCUCAGGCUGGAGUGCAGUGGCACAAUCUCGGCUCACUGCAGCCUCAGGCUCCUGGGCUCAAGCAAUCCUCCCACCUCAGUCUCCCAAAGUGCUGGGAUUCCAGGUGUGAGCCACUGCGCACGGCCAAGAAUAAAGAUUUUAAUAAAGUAAUGUGAAAUUAACAUGAAAAGCCAAUAAGGAAACUGGGCAAAUAUUUGAAAAGACAAUACAUAAAAGAAACACCAAUAGCCAAAAAACCAUGAAAGCCAAGUUCACCCCCAUUCAUAUUUGAAGAAUGUUACAUAAAAUAUUGAGACACCACCUUUUGCCUGUCAAAUCAGGAAAGAUGUUUAUUUUUAUUUUUUAUUUUUGAGACAGGGUCUCUCUGUCAUCCAGGCUGGAGUAUGGGGCACAAUUUCGUCUCAUUGCAACCUCAAACUCCUGGGCUCCAGCGAUCCUCCCACCCCAGCCUCCCAAGUAGCUAGGAGCACGGGCACACCACUAUGCCUGGCUAAUUUUUUCAAAACACUUUUUUGUAGAGAUGGAGUCUUGCUAUGUUGCCCAAACUGGUCUCAAACUCCUGAGCUCAAGUGAUUCUCCCACUUCAGCCUCCCAAAGUGCUGGGAUUAUAGGCAUAAGCCGCCAUGCCACAAAAUUUUACAAGAAAAUUUCAGCCAGCAUUUGACAAGAUUCCAGGGGACAUGAAUGAAAUACCUAAAGAUAAAAGAGUUCCUUGAGGCCAGUUAAGGUGGCUCAUGCCUGUAAUCCCACCACUUUGGGAGGCCAAGGCAGUGGAUCACAAGGUCAGGAGUUCAAGACCAGCCUGGCCAAUAUAGUGAAACCCUGUUUUACUAAAAAUACAAAAAUUAGCCUGGCAUAGUGGCGGGCACCUGUAAUCCCAGCUACUCAGGAGGCUGAGGCAGGAGAAUCGCUUGAACUUGGGAGGUAGAUGUUGCAGUGAGCUGAGAUCACAGCAAUGCACUCCAGCCUACAGAGCGAGAGACCCCUCUCAAAAAAAAAAAAAAAAAAAAAGGAGUUCCUUGACAAAAGAAAUGUGGAAUUUGCUGCCUUGAACUAAGUUAAAUUAGCUGCUUUGUUGCAGGAAUUUUCAUUAAUAUGCUAGUCCAUGAUAACCUGUAUAAAAGGAUCCUCUUGGGCAUUACUUUCUGGGUUUUUUGUUUGUUUUCAGAAACAGGGUCUUGCUCUGUCAUCCAGGCUGGAGUGUCAUGGUGUGAUCAUAUAUCAUAUCUCACUGCAGCCUCGAAUUUCUGGGCUCAAGCUAUCUUCCAGCCUGAACCUCCUGAGUAGCUAGGACUGCAGGUGUGUGCCACCAUGCCCAGCUAAUUAAAAAACUUAUUUUUGUACAGAUGAGGUCUCAUUAUGUUGCCUAGAGUGGUCUCUAUUCCUGGGCUCAAGAAAUCCUCCCCUCUCAGCCUCCCAAAGCACUGAGAUAACGUGUGUGCCACUGUGCUUGGCCUGAAUUUUUUAUUUUAAAAUACAUUUUGUGAGCUGUGCUUAGUAAUGCACACCUGUAGUCCUAGCUACUUAAGAGGCUGAGGCAGGGGCAUCGCUUGAGCCUAGGAGUUUGAGACCAGCCUGGACAACACAGGAAAACCCCAUCUUUACAAAUAAUCAAAAAAUUAGCCAUUACUCGGGAGGCUGAGGCAUGAGAAUCGCUUGAGCCUGAGAAGUUGAGCUGCAGUGAGCUGUGAUUGCACCACUGCACUCCAGUCUGGCUGGGUGACAGAGCAUGACCCUGUCUCAAAAAAAAAAAAAAAAGGAAAAAAAAUUAUUCAACAACAGUUGUUAAAGCACAGGAAGGGCUGGGCACGGUGGCUUCCGCCUGUAAUCCCAGCACUUUGGGUGGCUGAGGCAGGCAGAUCACAUGAGGUCAGGAGUUCAAGACCAGCCUGGCCAAAAUGGUGAAACCCCGUCUCUACUAAAAACACAAAAAUUAGCUGGGCGUGGUGGCCCACACCUGUAAUCCUAGCCACUGGAGAGGCUGAAGCAUGAGAAUCUCUUGAACUCGAGAGGCAGAGGUUGCAGUGAGCCAAGAUCACGCCACUGCACUCCAGCCUAGGCAACAGAACGAGACUCCAUCUCAAAAAAUUAAAAAAAUUAAAAAUAGAAUAAGGCACAGGAAAGGAAGGCUUUAUUCAGAGCCAUUACGAUAGAGAGAGGGGCCACAGUGGCAGGGCCUUGCAGUGAGGGAGACAGGUUGGGCUCAACUCCAAAUACUGCAUGGGGAAGUGGGAAUUCAUAGCCCAGGAUCGGGUGGGGCGCAGUGGAUUGAAAGUUACUAAGAGGAAACAUCAGGGGUAAGGGGGGAUUCUGGCUAAACCAGCCUAACAGGAUUCUUGCUGAAGACAGGCCCAGGUGAUCAGACAUCACAUAGGGGCUGGUGGAGGAUGAGGAACCUAAUCAGAUGUUGAAGAUGGGAGAGGGUUCUCGAUAAACUGACUUAGCAGGGUUCUUUGCUAAAACUGGAUUUGACAAGGGAGUACACAGAUGAGCCUAGCAGAAGAUUCAGAGACUUGACUAGUUUGGCCAUGCAAGAAUUUCUUUUUUGUUUUGUUUUUUUCUGUUUGUUUUGUUCGGCUCACUGCAACCUCCACCUCCUGGGUUCAAGCGAUUCUCUUCCCUCAGCCUGUGGAGUAGCUGGAAUUACAGGUGCCUGCCACCACACCCGGUUUGUGUGUGGGUGUGUGUAUUUUUAGUAGAGAUGGGGUUUUGCCAUGUUGGCCAGGCUGGUCUCGAACUCCUGACCUCAAGAGAUCCACCCACCUCAGCCUCCCAAAGUGCUGGGAUUACAGGUGUUGAGCCACCUCGCCCGGCCCAAGCAAAUAAUUUUUAUCAGGGAAUUGACUCCAAAGAAAAACAAUAGGAGAGGAGGUCCUGCAGGGUCACAGCCCAUACAAGAGUCUGGCCGCAAGGAAGCCUGGUAAGAGGAGAGGGAACAGAGCGGUGCUGACCUGCUGAAGGGAAGGCAGAGGUCGGACAGGUACCCGGAUUAGUCAUCACAUAACAACUUGGCAUCAGCCAUGCUCUGCCAUCUACUGUGUGGCCUCAGGCAAGUGACUCACUCUCUCUGAACAUCCACUUCCUCUCAUGUUGGUUUCUUUCUCAGAGGCUUGUGAGAGGCCUUGGCAAGCCAUGGCCAUAAAGCAAUCACUGGCUGGGCAUGGUCCCUCACGCCUGUAAUCCCAGCACUUUUGGGGCACCGAGGUGGGAGGAUCACUUGAGGCCAGGAGUUCAAGACCAGCCUGGGCAACAUAGUGAGACCUGGUCCUUACAAAAAAUAAAAAAAUGAUUCAGGUGUGGUGGUGCACACCUGUAGUCCCAGCUACUCUGGAGGCUAAGGUGGGAGGAUCCCUUGAGCCUAGGAUUUUGAGGUUGCAGUGAGCUAUAAUUGUGCCACUGCCCUCCAGCCUGGGUAAUGAAGUGAGACCCUGUCUCACUUUUUUUUUUUUUUUUUUUUGACAUGGAGUCUUGCUCUGUCACCAGGCUGGAGUCCAGUGGUACGAUCUUGGCUCACUGCAACCUCUGCCUCCCGGGUUCAAGUGAUUCUCGUGCCACAGUCUCCCGAGUAGCUGGGAUUACAGGCACUCACCACCACACCCAGCUAAUUUUUGUAUUUUUAGUAGAGACGGGGUUUCACCAUAUUGGCCAGGCUGGUCUCCAUCUCCUGACCUAGUGAUCCACCCGCCUUGGCCUCCCAAAGUGCUGGAAUUACAGGUGUGAGCCACUGCACCUGGCCAAGAAAAAAAUUUCUUGCUUAUACAAAGUCAGCUGUGGGUCUGGGUGACUAUCAAGAGCAGAAGUGCUCGAUGCCAGGGCUCGGCCCUCUUCCUUCAUGUGGCACCUCCAGGUUUGCUCAGCUCCUAGUGUGACCCGGGCAGGAGAAAACAGAGCAUGGAGCAUUCUGCACUGCCUUCCCCUGCGCCCGCCAUAAACACAAGGUCUUGCUCUGUCCACUGGGCUGGAGUGCAAUGGUUGCACUGGUUUUUAAAUGCUUCUACAAGGAGCAUUUAAAGUGUUCUACAUCCAACACUUCUACUUACAUUUUAUUGGCCAAAGUAAGUCAGAUAACUCCUGAGUUCAGCAGAUCCUGGGAGAUGGCGGAGGGCAUUAGUAAUGCUUGCCCUACUGUCUCACUGCUGGUGCUGAAAAUCCAAUGAGAAAAUACACACAAAACAUAUUCAUUCAUUCAACAAAUGUUUACUGGGCACCUAUGAUGUGCCAACCACUGUUCUAGGAACUGGAUACAUACCUCUGAGUGAGUACAUAGCAGUGAACAAGACAUAUAGAAAUCCCAGUCCAGCCGGGUGCAGUGGCUCACACAUGUAAUCCCAGCACUUUGGGAGGCCAAGCGGAUGGAUCACCUGAGGUCAGGAGUUCAAGACAAGCUUGGCCAAGAUGGUGAAACACCAUCUCUACUAAAAAUACAAAAAUUAGCUGGGCGUGGUGGCGGGUGCCUGUAAUCCCAGCUACUCGAGAGGCUGAGGCAGAGAAUUGCUUGAACCCAGGAGGUGGAGGUUGCAGUGAGCCGAGAUCGAGCCACUGCACUCCAGCCUAGGCAACAGAGUGAGACUCCGUCUCAAAAAAAAAAAAAAAUAGAAGUCCCAGUCCGUGGCAAGCUCACAUACUAGCGGAGGAGACAGAAAUCUGGAUCAAUAUGUAAAGUACACAGGGCUGGGCGUGGUGGCUCAUGCCUGUAAUCUAAGCACUUUGGGAGGCUGAGGUGGGUGGAUCACCUGAGGUCAGGAGUUCGAGACCAGCCUGGCCAACAUGAUGAAACCUUGUCUCUACUAAAAAUACAAACAAAUUAGCCGGGUGUGGUGGUGGACACCUGUCAUCCCAGCUACUUGGGAGGCUGAGGCAGGAGAAUCGCUUGAACCCAGGAGGUGGAGGUUGUAGUGAGCUAAGACCGUGCCAUUGCCCUCCAGCCUGAGCAACAAAAAUGAAACUCCAUCUCAAUAAUAAUAAUAAUAAUAAUAAAACAAAAAAAAAAGUACACAGUACGUGAGCGGGUGAUAAAAGACAGGACCUUCCCGUGAUCACUAGAUGUGUAGACAUGAAAGAUCUGCUUCCCAGACCUGGGGCUGGAGAAGGUCUUGGUAAGGGAGUGGUGGCCUCAUGUCUUCAUGUCUGCCCUGAGAGAGGCUGUUUGGAUGUUGCUGUGCUUGCAGGGCCUCCAUGCUGAGUUUUGUCUCUGUUCAGCUGGGAACAUGCAGGUGACCUUGCCAGGCAGGCAUCUUCUCACUUUCUCCAGGGCGAAGAGAUGAGGGCAGGGAGGUGACAGGACAGAUCACUAGGGGUGGCUGUCAUGAGAACUUUAGGCUGGAGUGCAGUGGUGCAAUCAAGGCUCACUGCAGCCUCUACCUCCUGGGCUCAAGUGAUCCUCCCACCUCAGCCUCCCGAGUAGCUGGGACUACAGGCACAUGCCACCAUGCCUGGCUAGUUUUUGGUAUUUUUUGUAGAGAUGGGGUCUUGCCAUGUUGCCCAGGCUGGUCUCAAACUCCUAGGUUCAAGCGAUCCUCCUGCCUCAGUCUCCC
rnacentral:lncRNA from 1 species